rnacentral:rRNA from 1 species
CGGGGAAUCUUGCGCAAUGGGCGAAAGCCUGACGCAGCAACGCCGCGUGAGUGAAGAAGGCCUUCGGGUUGUAAAGCUCUGUCGGGCGGGACGAACGGUCAGUGGGUUAACAGCCCAUUGAAUUGACGGUACCGCCAAAGGAAGCACCGGCUAACUUCGUGCCAGCAGCCGCGGUAAUACGAAGGGUGCAAGCGUUGCUCGGAAUCAUUGGGCGUAAAGGGCAAGUAGGUGGUCUUGUUUGUCUGUGGUG